UACAGAGGUCUCAAGCGUUGUUCGGAUUCAUUGGGCGUAAAGGGUGCGUAGGCGGCGUGGUAAGUCGGGUGUGAAAUCUCGGAGCUUAACUCCGAAACUGCAUUCGAUACUGCCGUGCUUGAGGACUGGAGAGGAGACUGGAAUUUACGGUGUAGCGGUGAAAUGCGUAGAUAUCGUAAGGAAGACCAGUGGCGAAGGCGGGUCUCUGGGCCGGUACUGACGCUGAGGAGCGAAAGCGUGGGGAGCAAACAGG
rnacentral:rRNA from 1 species